rnacentral:rRNA from 1 species
GAUGAACGCUGACAGAAUGCUUAACACAUCAGCAAUGGAGUGGUGGCGGACGGGUGAGUAACGCGUAAAGAACUUACCUCACAGUUAGGGACAACAUUUGGAAACGAAUGCUAAUACCUAAUACUGUGAGAGAGCUUUGCGUCCCAUUAGCUAGUUGGAGUGGUAACGGCUCACAAAGGCGAGGAUGGGUAGCCGGCCUGGGAGGGUGAUCGGCCCAAAGGGGACUGAGACACGACCCUUACUCCUACGGGAGGCAGCAGUGGGGAAUAUUGGACAAUGGACCAAAGUCUGAUCCAGCAAUUCGGUGUGCACGAUGAAGUUUUCGGAAUGUAAAGUGCUUUCAGUUUGGAAGCGGUACCAACAGAAGAAGUGACGGCUAAAUACGUGCCAGCCGCCGCGGUAAUAC